UACGGAGGGGGCUAGCGUUGUUCGGAAUUACUGGGCGUAAAGCGUGCGCAGGCGGCUUUGCAAGACAGAUGUGAAAUCCCCGGGCUUAACCUGGGAACUGCAUUUGUGACUGCAUGGCUGGAGUGCGGCAGAGGGGGAUGGAAUUCCGCGUGUAGCAGUGAAAUGCGUAGAUAUGCGGAGGAACACCGAUGGCGAAGGCAAUCCCCUGGGCCUGCACUGACGCUCAUGCACGAAAGCGUGGGGAGCAAACGGG
rnacentral:rRNA from 1 species